UGGUGGGGUAACGGCUCACCAAAGCAACGAUCAGUAGCCGGCCUGAGAGGGUGAACGGCCACACUGGAACUGAGACACGGUCCAGACUCCUACGGGAGGCAGCAGUGGGGAAUAUUGCACAAUGGGGGAAACCCUGAUGCAGCAACGCCGCGUGAGCGAUGAAGGUUUUCGAAUCGUAAAGCUCUGUCCUAAGGGAAGAUAAUGACGGUACCUUAGGAGGAAGCCCCGGCUAACUACGUGCCAGCAGCCGCGGUAACACGUAGGGGGCAAGCGUUAUCCGGAAUUAUUGGGCGUAAAGGGUGCGUAGGCGGCCUCAUGGGUCAGAGGUUAAAUACUAUAGCUUAACUAUAGUCCGCCUUUGAAACUAUAAGGCUUGAGUGCAGGAGAGGAGAGUGGAAUUCCUAGUGUAGCGGUGAAAUGCGUAGAUAUUAGGAGGAAUACCAGUGGCGAAGGCGACUCUCUGGACUGCAACUGACGCUAAGGCACGAAAGCGUGGGUAGCGAACAGGAUUAGAUACCCUGGUAGUCCACGCCAUAAACGAUGAGUGCUAGGUGUUGGGGGUCAAACCUCGGUGCCGCAGUUAA
rnacentral:rRNA from 1 species